UGAAACUGAAAAUUAAAGUCGCCAACGGCCUUUCUCCGUCUCAAAACUCAAACAAAAAUAGAAUAAUUCAAAACAAACUCCAUGGGAAUUAGUGACUUUUUUUUUCCAAAGUUAAGAACUGACUCUACUUCGCGAUGCAGAAGACUUAAUAUUUUAUUCGCAUGCACGAUCGCGUCAGUAAAAUUAAACGAUAAAAGGCUGCGAUUUUUAAAAAUGUUAUUUUAUGUGAAAAAUAUAUUUUUAACGUAUAAAAAGGUUGGUUGAAGCGUUCUGGUUCAAUCGGUAACCAUGCAGAUUAACAGUAUGGUCGCAGAGUCCGCAAGGCUAAGAAAUAGACUAUUCAACAAAGUACAUUGAAGGAGUGCACCAUCGAACUGGCUGUUCAUCAUAUAAUCUAUCUCUAUUGGUCAGGAGCUUGGAGAGACAGCAGGAGCAUCAAGAGAACUGAACAUGGAGAAAACAGCUGAAGACAGUAGGAGCAGAGAGAAAACAGAUCAUGAAAAAAACACUAGAGGAGAAUGGGGAGAGCAGGAGCAAGUGGGGAGCAGAUCACAUUGUGAUCAAUGUGCACUUGCCUACCUUUGACCAGAGUUAUUUGGGCAGUCACUCUUUUGUACAGCUGGCUUGCAUUGCAAACCCCCUUGAAAUGCUUAGUUUUACCCCAACUCAGUUUGAGAAAUGUUGGUCUAAAUUGUCAAGCUUUAGAUGUUGUAAUUUAUAACCAUUGCUUGUUAGCUUAGAUGGUGUGAUUUUUCUUUUACAUAAAAAUAUUUUGAUUCCGAAACACAGAGAUGUUUCUCAGCGUUGUUUUACAGACCUCUAGCUAGAGAUAGAUGCAGGACUGUUUCAAACAAUACUCUGAAUCUGUUGCAGUCUCGAUCCAUUGUGUGGAAAUUUAGACUGGUUCAUGCUAAAGACUAAUGACACAAAAAUGUACAUAAACACAUGUAGAUAAACACAAGAGACGGUGAGUCAAAGUGAUGGAGAAUGUAAUUUUUAAAUCUGUCUAGAUGAUCUAAGAUGUGCUGAUUGACUCCUUCAUCUGAAACUACAUGCAAACUUGAGAUUUCACACACAGAGACACUCGCAACACAUAUACACUGACACAUCUUCAGACACUUGCACACAUGCACUUAGACAUUCUCUCCUCACUUCCUCACACAUGCACCUAUCUAUUCCCUGCUAUCUGUGGACAGCUAAAAACAGCUGACAAGCUGCAACUAAUGUUUCCAGAUGCCCAUCCUCAGAUAACAUAAACUAUUAGAGUUCAAUGGCCAUUAUUUUCCAAU